UCCAAAUGGAACUAGGCCAAAGUUUUCUUGAGUGCACUGAACCCCCAAUGGUCAUCUUACUGGCAAAGGCCCCAACUCAGGGUUCAAGACAGAAAAGCUGAAAGGUUCAUAUAAGUUGAUUCAGUAAAUCUUCACCAGUGGUCUAUUUAUAGAAAUUUCACUUUGAAUGGGAAGCAGUUUCUUUGGCCGAAUGCAGAUGGAGCCUCAAGGUACAGUUAUGCACACAGAGACCACAGCAGAGCAAGGAAGAGGAUGAUGGGAUUCAACAAAGCGCUGUGUCCCAGGUUUAGGAGAAGAAGUUACAGCCAUGCUUCCUCUUGUCGAUCUCCACGUCCCUUGAAGGUGAAAGCCUUGGGUGGAACAGUGGAAAAUUGAAAAACAAGGCAAAAACAAAAGGUGAAGUUACAAAGCAGAGGAGGACAAGUCAAGUCCAUCCCCAAUAAAAGCCCCACCUCUUGGACCAAAAUGCUCUUUUCAAUUGGCCAGCAUACUGGUGACAGAAUUCCCGUAACAGAUGUGGAUAUUGGAUUCUACACUGGAAAUAGAUGAUCCACUUUCUGCCCUAUAGUUUUUGAGAGGGAAUAGAAUGAUAGACAACUAUGGCUCACAGAGUAUCCAGGAAGUGGACGAUGAAGAUCAUGGAGAGACCAACUAUCUCACCUCGGGAUGGCGCUCAUCUGUAGCUGGCAAACUGCCAGCAACCUCCAGCAACAUCAAGGGAUCACAGAGGAUCACAGAAGGAGAAGAGGUCCAAUAUUACUAUCCCGUUCCUGUGGUGAACAGAACUGUGGGAAAGAGAGCACUGUCCCCUGGGAACACCAAGUCAAUGCCAGAGGAGCAACAUGUGCAUAAGCUCUGAAGCCCACUAAGGUGGAGUGUAAAUUGAAAAUUGAGACCUGAAUGGGCUUUCUGAAGUCAGGAUUCCAGUGGCCUUGGGGAUGUAGAUUCCACAGAGGUCAUUCAGUUUCAUUUGUUCAGUGGCUUGCUUAAGGCAGCCUACUUGACUCAAAAUGCAGAGUGAUGACUCUGUUAGUCUCCAAGGAUCCUCUUCUAGGGGCAUACUUAUAAGUUCUAGGCAGACAUUGUUACUGUUAACUCAGAAUGGCACAGUGCUAGCCAAGAUCUGUUUCUUAAAGGACUCAGUAUGGUAUUAAAUGUAAGAUCAAUAUGUAAAUAUUGAUAUAUCAAAAUAAAUAAAUGAUGUAUAAUAUACAAAUAUAUACAAAUAAUGUAUAUUUUAAAAUAUAUAAUAUAUAUAUAUACAUUACUAUAGUAAAAUCUCCCUUUUCUAAGUUUAAAAAGAUGUGUAUCAUUUUUUUUCAAUAAUUUUUACUCCUCAGUUUUUGAUCAGUUGAUAUGACUUUUAGUCAAUAGUAAGUAUUAGCAUACCUUUACUAGUUGUAUUGUCUACUAAAAUGUAUUGAGUCAGUAAUGUUUACCCUGUUCUUAAGAAAGCAAUAUAUUGGGCUGGAGAGAUAGCUCAGAGGUUAAGAGCACUGGCAGUUAUUCCGGAGGUCCUGAGUUCAAUUCCCAGCAACCACAAGAUGGCUCACAACCAUCUGUAAUGAGAUCUGGCACCUU